rnacentral:misc_RNA from 1 species
AAUAAUUAAAAAAUUUCAAGUUUAUGAAGUAAAAAACAUACAGGACAACAUCUUUUAUCAUCUUCUAUCACUUGAGUAGACACAAUUGGAUUAUUCAUUUUAAUUACAUAAGUAACUUCGUCAAAAGGAAAGCAGACAUUGAGUUUAAAGGAAAACAUAUGGUCUCAUUAACAUGAAAGCCAUACUGUUAAUUAUGGCAAAGAGUA